rnacentral:lncRNA from 1 species
AUGGAGUACCUGAAUAAAUGAGAUUUGGACACUUGAAGUAAUAUCUACACUGCAGUCAGAGUACGAGAGCUGCUGCUGCUUUGAAUAUCUGUUUGCACUGAAAGGCCAUUAGAGGUGCUUCAGAAGAAGUCUACCAAAACUUUGGAGCCCUGGAGUUUCUCAGUGAGGGCAGACCAUCUUGUUAGCAUCUGCUUCUGGGUACCCACAGAAACAAGAAACCAGAGGAGCCCAUGUUUCAAGAUGAAGCUCUGA